CCUUUCCCUCUCUUUGGUUUCACUUCAUUCGAAAUUCCAGUUCCCUCUCUUUGGUUUCACUUCAUUUGAAAUUCACCUAUCCUCUCACCCACCCCCACCCCCGCGUUGCUCAUCCUCUCCCCCAACCUCCCGUGUUGCCCAUCCUCUCCCCCACUCCCACCCCCUGCAUCGCCUAUGGAUGAUGACCCGGUGACCUCCAUGUCUUUUUCUCUGAUCUCAGUUCAAAUUAGUUAAAAGUGCAGCCAAAGUGUACAGACUCUAAAAAAUGACUACAUAGUAUGAACUGUACAGUCAAGACUCAGCGCUAUCGCUCUGUUUCUGGCCGUCUUUCUUGAGUCCAUGUGUCCCCCGGUUUCCAAGCUGCAGUGUCUCUUUCGUCCUUUCGAAACCCAACUGGCUCCACCGUGUCUUGGCCAUGGCCAUUAAGCGCAACCCUAAGCGUCUCAAAGACUUUGCUCCUCGCUUCACCAAGGUAUGCAAUUGUUUGUGAUUUGAAAAGCAAUUCAACGAUUGAAAUAUAUGCUAGAUGAGGAGAAGUGAGGAGAUGUGAAUUUUUCGUUUGGGCGGAAUACUUCACUUGCUAGAGGAAAACAUUCGUAUAAGAGAGAAUAAAUUAUGGAAGAUGUGGGAUGACAUAUUGCUACGUGAGAAUGAAGUUAGUAAAAAGGAAGAUAAAGUACAAGAGAGAGAGAACUCUUAAGAAGAAAAAGAAAAAAUUAGUGUUUAUACUGGAUUGCCAUAUUUGUAAUAAUUUUGGCUUGAUUCGGAUAAUUUUUUUUUUUUAUAUAUAAGUAAUGAUUCGGAUAAAUUGUAUAUAAAUAGCACGUUGUAUGAAAUACAUCUUUUUCUUAUGGAUCAACUGUAAUGGUAUGUUUUGUAUUGCACUGAGAAAACAAUCAUCUUGUAUAUAUAACAAAAUCAAAGUUAUGCA